AUGUUCCCUGGGAGCGGUGUCAGUGUGUGCCCGGACCGGGAAUGUUCACUGGGAGCGGUGUCAGUGUGUGCCCGGACCGGGGAUGGUCUUUGGGGCGGUGUCAGUGUGUGCCGGACCCGGGAUGUUCACUGGGAGCGGUGUCAGUGUGUGCCCGGACCGGGAAUGUUCACUGGGAGCGGUGUCUGGGUGUGCCCGGACCGGGAAUGUUCACUGGGAGCGGUGUCAGUGUGUGCCCGGACCGGGGAUGGUCUUUGGGGCGGUGUCAGUGUGUGCCCGGACCGGGGAUGGUCUUUGGGGCGGUGUCAGUGUGUGCCGGACCCGGAAUGUUCACUGGGAGCAGUGUCAGUGUGUGCCCGGACCGGGAAUGUUCACUGGGAGCGAUGUCAGUGUGUGUCCGGACCGGGGUGUUCUCUGGGAGCGGUGUCUGGGUGUGCCCGGACCAGGAAUGUUCCCUGGGAGCGGUGUCAGUGUGUGCCCGGACCGGGGAUGUUCACUGGGAGCGGUGUCUGGGUGUGCCGGACCAGGAAUGUUCACUGGGAGCGGUGUCAGUGUGUGCCCGGACCGGGAAUGUUCACUGGGAGCGGUGUCAGUGUGUGCCCGGACCGGGAAUGUUCACUGGGAGCGGUGUCUGGGUGUGCCGGACCGGGGAUGUUCACUGGGAGCGGUGUCUGGGUGUGCCGGACCAGGAAUGUUCCCUGGGAGCGGUGUCAGUGUGUGCCCGGACCGGGAAUGUUCCCUGGGAGCGGUGUCAGUGUGUGCCCGGACCGGGAAUGUUCACUGGGAGCGGUGUCAGUGUGUGCCCGGACCGGGGAUGGUCUUUGGGGCGGUGUCAGUGUGUGCCCGGACCGGGGAUGGUCUUUGGGGCGGUGUCAGUGUGUGCCGGACCCGGGAUGUUCACUGGGAGCGGUGUCAGUGUGUGCCCGGACCGGGAAUGUUCACUGGGAGCGGUGUCAGUGUGUGCCCGGACCGGGGAUGGUCUUUGGGGCGGUGUCAGUGUGUGCCCGGACCGGGGAUGUUCAGUGCCCGCCCGCCCGCUCCCUCUGUAGGGUCUCUCUUUUCCUUGGAGUGGUGUGUGGGGAGCUCGGCUUGGCGCACUGGUGCUUCCAAGAAGCAUUUUGCCUCCCGCAGAUCUGGAGCUCUUGUUCCCGAGACAGAACCGAGGCAUCCCGGCGUCGGGCAGUAGCCUGA
rnacentral:lncRNA from 1 species